UACGGAGGGUGCAAGCGUUAUCCGGAUUCACUGGGUUUAAAGGGUGCGUAGGUGGGUUGGUAAGUCAGUGGUGAAAUCUCCGAGCUUAACUCGGAAACUGCCAUUGAUACUAUCAAUCUUGAAUCAUCUGGAGGUAAGCGGAAUAUGUCAUGUAGCGGUGAAAUGCUUAGAUAUGAACAUAGAACACCAAUUGCGAAGGCAGCUUACUACGGGUGUAUUGACACUGAGGCACGAAAGCGUGGGGAUCAAACAGG
rnacentral:rRNA from 1 species